rnacentral:lncRNA from 1 species
UCGCGUUGAUUUUCCUUUCCUAAUCUUUUCUCCAUAGCAUAUUGAAUGUCUUGUUGUAAAAGAGCUUGUUUGAAACGUUCCUUAUGAUCUAUUAAAACUUGUCGUGCGAUAUUUGGUGCUGAAGUCAUUGAUUCAUAUUUUGUAGUAUUCCCAGAUUUAAUUAAAAAGUAUGGUCGAUUGUUAACAAUUUUCACAGCCAAUAACUGUUGAUUUCAUUCCUUGAUUUUGUUCACUUAUAGUUUCAGUUUGUGUGCUUAUAUCAGAUUUGACUUUAGUUGAAAUAUAUUGUACACUAUUAACAGCUGGAUCCGGUUUUG